AGAGUUUGAUCCUGGCUCAGGAUGAACGCUGGCGGUCUGCUUAACACAUGCAAGUCGAACGGAACUUUUCGGAGUUCAGUGGCGGACGGGUGAGUAACGCGUGAGAAUCUGCCUUCUGGUCGGGGACAACCCACUGGAAACGGUGGCUAAUACCGGAUGAGCCUACGGGUAAAAGAUUUAUUGCCAGAAGAGGAGCUCGCGUCUGAUUAGCUAGUUGGUGAGGUAAAGGCUCACCAAGGCAUCGAUCAGUAGCUGGUCUGAGAGGAUGACCAGCCACACUGGGACUGAGACACGGCCCAGACUCCUACGGGAGGCAGCAGUGGGGAAUUUUCCGCAAUGGGCGAAAGCUGACGGAGCAAGACCGCGUGAGGGAGGAAGGCUCUUGGGUUGUAAACCUCUUUUCUUGGGGAAGAAAAAAAUGACGGUACCCAAGGAGUCAGCAUCGGCUAACUCCGUGCCAGCAGCCGCGGUAAUACGGAGGAUGCAAGCGUUAUCCGGAAUUAUUGGGCGUAAAGCGUCCGCAGGUGGCACUUCAAGUCUGCUGUCAAAGGUCGGGGCUUAACCCCGGGAAGGCAGUGGAAACUGAAGCGCUAGAGUGUCGUAGGGGUAGAGGGAAUUCCCGGUGUAGCGGUGAAAUGCGUAGAGAUCGGGAAGAACAUCGGUGCGAAAGCGCUCUACUGGACGACAACUGACACUCAGGGACGAAAGCUAGGGGAGCGAAUGGGAUUAGAUACCCUAGUAGUCC
rnacentral:rRNA from 1 species